AUUGAGCGCUGGCGGCAGGCCUAACACAUGCAAGUCGAGCGGAUGAAGGGAGCUUGCUCCUGGAUUCAGCGGCGGACGGGUGAGUAAUGCCUAGGAAUCUGCCUGGUAGUGGGGGAUAACGUCCGGAAACGGGCGCUAAUACCGCAUACGUCCUGAGGGAGAAAGUGGGGGAUCUUCGGACCUCACGCUAUCAGAUGAGCCUAGGUCGGAUUAGCUAGUUGGUGGGGUAAAGGCCUACCAAGGCGACGAUCCGUAACUGGUCUGAGAGGAUGAUCAGUCACACUGGAACUGAGACACGGUCCAGACUCCUACGGGAGGCAGCAGUGGGGAAUAUUGGACAAUGGGCGAAAGCCUGAUCCAGCCAUGCCGCGUGUGUGAAGAAGGUCUUCGGAUUGUAAAGCACUUUAAGUUGGGAGGAAGGGCAGUAAGUUAAUGCCUUGCUGUUUUGACGUUACCAACAGAAUAAGCACCGGCUAACUUCGUG
rnacentral:rRNA from 1 species